UGUGUGUAUAUGUAUGUACAAUAUACAAUAUGUGUGUAUUUUAUAUUUUUACACACACACACACACACACACACACACACACACACACAC
rnacentral:miRNA from 1 species